CAGAUGUGUACUACUAGUUCUCAGGCUAAUAAGAAAGACAGAGGUCCUUGGAUAAAAUAUUUCAGUAGUUUAUUCGUCGGUCCAACUGUACAUGAUGCAGUGUUGAUAGGGACACGAGAUGAUGACUAACAUGGAGUUUUACACAAUGCCAGUGCGAUGGCAGCACUUGGAACACACCAACUGUCUGUCAGCUGAGCUGGAAACUAAAGUCCUGGAAAUGUAACCUGUUGAGGCCUCGGCACAUACAGUAUGUCAGAUUUGGAAUAGUCAUUUUUAGAUCGGUUGAAAAACACACAAAAUAUAUAUUUUCUUCGAUUCCACAAAUGUAAAAGGAUGCUCUUUCGCUUUUCACUUGGACAUGUUGAUUCAAUUAUGCACAUUGUCAUUCUUUAUUUCAGUACUUUGAAGCGAAAUGAAAUGAGAUGUGGGAAUAGCUGAAUACAAAAUGUUGGCUGAUUCGCAGAGGUUUUAUUCCAUGUUUAUACUGAUAUCAUUAUUUCAUGUAAUAACCCCAUAAGUUUGUGCAACAUCUUUCUUUGCAUAGAAAUAAAAUUUAAAUAUUUUGUUUGUUGACAUGCACCUUUUCUUUAGCAGCAUAUUUUAUCUUGCGGAUUUGGGACUCCCUUACAGAAUUAUAAGCCCACUAUAGUGUGAAUACAUGCAGCGUACCAGCAGAGAUGAACUUGAUUUCUAGUAAGAGUUUAUGAGAGCACAAGCCAGCCAGUAUAGUGGGUGUUGAUGAGGACUGUUAAAUAGUGACACCACCUGAUCAGACAGGUGGAACUAGUCUGCAGGGACACACUGUGUGUCUGUCUGCAGCACUGUGAGAGAGAGGAACAGACUAUGGGGAAAGUGCUCUGUGUGCGACAACAUCCAAACAUUCCACGUGAUUGAUUCUUUGGAUUUUGAGUCACUACUGGAAGUACUUAAGGAACCCGAUGACGUCAUUCAUAGACUGUGUCAUGUGUGAUCCAUCUUUUUGUCAUUAUCACUAUGCCCCGACCUUUAGAGAUGACACAUGUGCUGUAUACCGCUAAAUCUGACCUCUAGAGAAGACACAUGUACUGUAUACCCCUAAAUCUGACCUCUAGAGAAGCACCCCUAAAUCUGACCUCCAGAGAAGACACCCCUAAAUCUGACCUCCGGAGAAGACACCCCUAAAUCUGACCUCUGCUCUGUCCCAUGUAUACUGAACUUGACCCUUGACCUCUAUAUUGGAUAAAUACAGUGUGUAACGAGUGAUAACUUUGCUGAACACCUAAUAGGUAGAUCAUUACAUUCUCUGGUUAUCCAUAGCAUUUUGAACCAAAUCAUAAUUCUGUUACUGUUUUCUUUCAUUAACAUUACCAUAAACACCCGCUAUACAACAUGCUUAAAAUAAACCCAAAGCAGAAAUGAUAUGUUAUAAUUCAGAAGCUGGACUCUUGUUCCUCUUUUAUGUACAAUCUUGCCCAAUGUAUAUAUUUCCAUUUAUUGAAUGUGGUCUGUAUUUCCCAUUUUUAUGAGGCGAUCUCCUCCAUUUGAUGAUUCAGUAGAUCUCUCUUUUUGCUGUGUGCUGUUCAUAGCUUUGCCAUGCAGUUCUUUGCGAGGGCUCCGCAUGCCAGGGCCAGCGAGCUGCACGCUCUGUGAGGGAAAUCAUGCCUGGUGAACCUCUGUGGACUGGCGAUCAGAAGAGAGGAGUUCUGUGGCUAUAGAUAUCAGGGUGGUGUUGUUAGGUGGUUGGGUUGUUAGGUAGGUGGGUUGUUCGGAAGGUGGGUUGUUAGGUAGGGUUGGUGGGGUUGUUAGAUUGUUGGGUUGUUAGGAAGGUGGGUUGUUAGGUAGGUGGGUUGUUAGGUAGGUGGGUUGUUAUUUUUGAUGAUUUUUUUUUUACCCCUUUUUUCUCCCCAAUUUCGUGGUAUUCAAUUGGUAGUUACAGUCUUGUCUCAUCGCUGCAACUCCCGUACGGACUCAGGAGAUGCAAAGGUCGAGAGCCAUGCGUCCUCCGAAACACAACCCAACCUAGCCGCACUGCUUCUUGACAUAACGCACAUCCAACCUAUAUGUGCGUCCUCCAAUGUGUCGGAGGAAACACCGUACACCUGGCGACCUGGUCAAAAUGCACUGCGCCCUGCCACAGGAGUCGCUAGUGCGCGAUGAGACAAGGAUAUCCCUGCCGGCCAAACCCUCCCUAACCCGGACAACGCUGUGCAUCGCCCCAAGGACCUCCCGGUCGCGGCCGGCUGCGACAGAGCCUGGGCUUGAACCCAGAAUCUCUGCUGGCACUGCGAUGCAGUGCCUUUAGACAACUGUAACACCCGAGAGGCCCGGUAGGUGGAUUGUUAGGUAGGUGGGUUGUUAGGUGGUGAGGUUGUUAGGUAGGUGGGUGAGGUUGUUAGGUAGGUGGGUGGGGUUGUUAGGUAGGUGGGUGGGGUUGUUAGGUGGGUUGUUAGGUAAGUGUGUGGGGUUGUUAGGAAGGUUGGUGUGGUUGUUAGGUAGGUGGGUGGGGUUGUUAGGUGGGUUGUUAGGUAAGUGUGUGUGGUUGUUAGGAAGGUG
ensembl:lncRNA